UACAGAGGUCCCAAGCGUUAUUCGGAUUCACUGGGCGUAAAGGGUGCGCAGGCGGCCAAGUGUGUGAGGCGUGAAAGCCUGGGGCUUAACUCCAGAAUUGCACCUCAAACUACUUGGCUAGAGCAUUGGAGAGGGUAGCAGAAUUCACGGUGUAGCAGUGAAAUGCGUAGAUAUCGUGAGGAAUACCAGAGGCGAAGGCGGCUACCUGGACAAUUGCUGACGCUCAGGCACGAAAGCGUGGGGAGCAAAAGGG
rnacentral:rRNA from 1 species